UGGGGAAUUUUGGACAAUGGGCGAAAGCCUGAUCCAGCAAUGCCGCGUGUGUGAAGAAGGCCUUCGGGUUGUAAAGCACUUUUGUCCGGAAAGAAAUCCUUGGCUCUAAUACAGUCGGGGGAUGACGGUACCGGAAGAAUAAGCACCGGCUAACUACGUGCCAGCAGCCGCGGUAAUACGUAGGGUGCAAGCGUUAAUCGGAAUUACUGGGCGUAAAGCGUGCGCAGGCGGUUUGCUAAGACCGAUGUGAAAUCCCCGGGCUCAACCUGGGAACUGCAUUGGUGACUGGCAGGCUAGAGUAUGGCAGAGGGGGGUAGAAUUCCACGUGUAGCAGUGAAAUGCGUAGAGAUGUGGAGGAAUACCGAUGGCGAAGGCAGCCCCCUGGCCAAUACUGACGCUCAUGCACGAAAGCGUGGGGAGCAAACAGGAUUAGAUACCCUGGUAGUCCACGCCCUAAACGAUGUCAACUAGUUGUUGGGGAUUCAUUUCCUUAGUAACGUAACUAACGCGUGAAGUUGACCGCCUGGGGAGUACGGUCGCAAGAUUAAAACUUAAAUGAAUUGACGGGGUCAUAGCUGUUUCCU
rnacentral:rRNA from 1 species